rnacentral:rRNA from 1 species
UCAGUUCAGAUUGCAGGCUGCAACUCGCCUGCAUGAAGUCGGAAUUGCUAGUAAUCGCAGAUCAGCAUGCUGCGGUGAAUACGUUCCCGGGCCUUGUACACACCGCCCGUCACACCACGGAAGUUGGGAGUACCCAAAGUAGGUUGCCUAACCGCAAGGAGGGCGCUUCCUAAGGUAAGACCGAUGACUGGGGUGAAGUCGUAACAAGGUAAC